rnacentral:rRNA from 1 species
AGUAAGAGUAUAAUUUAUAGAGAAGCUAAAAAAGUCUUAGGGAUAAACUAGGAUUAGAUACCCUAUUAUACUAAGGUUUAAUGUAAAAAUGCUAGAUUAUUAUUAGAUAAGUUCUUUAAAAUUUAAAAAAAUUUGGCGGUGAUUUAGUCUAGUUAGAGGAACCUGUUUUAUAAUCGAUAUCCCACGUAAAGAUCUUACUAAAUUUUUAUUUAGUUUGUAUACCAUCAUUAGCAGAUGAAUUUUAGUAGAGGAUUAAUUAUUAAUUAUAGAUGACCAUAUAAAUUAGAUCAAGGUGCAGCUAAAAAUUAGUU